rnacentral:rRNA from 1 species
UACGUAGGGUGCAAGCGUUAAUCGGAAUUACUGGGCGUAAAGGGUGCGUAGGUGGUUGGGUAAGUUUGAUGUGAAAUCUCCGGGCUUAACCCGGAAAUGGCAUUGAAUACUAUUCGGCUAGAGGUUUGGAGGGAGGACUGGAAUUCUUGGUGUAGCAGUGAAAUGCGUAGAUAUCAAGAGGAACACCAGUGGCGAAGGCGAGUCCCUGGACAACACCUGACACUGAGGCACGAAAGCUAGGGGAGCAAACAGG